CGGCAGACAGACAGUAGGGAAUCUUCCACAAUGGGCGCAAGCGUGAUGGAGCAACACCGCGUGAGUGAAGAAGGGUUUCGGCUCGUAAAGCUCUGUUGUUAAAGAAGAACACGUGUGAGAGUAACUGUUCAUACGUGGACGGUAUUUAACCAGAAAGUCACGGCUAAUUACGUGCCACCAGCCGCGGUAAUAGGUGGGUGGCAAGGUUUUUCCGGAUUUUUUGGGGGUAAAGAGAGGGCGGGGGUUUUUUUAAUUUUGAAUGAAAACCCUUUGGUUUAACGGGGGAAGUGCUUGGGAAACGGGAUAACGUGGGGGCGGAGGGGGGUAGGGGAACUCCGUGGGUAGGGGGGGAAUGGGUAGAUAUAUGGAAGACCACCAGGGGGGAGGGGGGUUUCUUGGUCGGAAAUUGACGGUGAGAUUGAAAAGCAGGGGUAGAGAACAGGAUUAGAUACCUUGGUUGUCACAUGCGGAAAAGGAAGAGUGUUAGGUGUGGGGGUUUUCCGCCUUUAAGGCGCGGA
rnacentral:rRNA from 1 species